AUGAAAAGGCAACAACGUAAAUCCAAUGAGGACACUGGCUCCAAUUACUAUUCGCCCCUUACGUAUUUAAACGAUCCCCAGGGUUUUGCAGAGAAACUCUUCUGUCGGCUACAGAAAUGCAAUGAACGAUUUGAGGCAAGGAUGAUGAUGUUGAAGGUCAUAGCAAGGACUAUUGGGCUGCAUCACUUGGUUUUGUUGAACUUUUAUCCAUAUCUUCAAAGACAUUUUCAACCUCAUCAACGUGAUGUGACCACUCUACUUGCUGCAGCAGUACAGGCUUGCCAUGAGAUGUUGAAAUACAACAAAAUUAAUUUGUCUCGAUUGCAGGUGCCUCCUGAUGCUGUUGAUCGUUCCCGUCCGGAGGUUUGCAUGACUCGCUUAUUCAUCUUUUGUAAUGUGUGUUUUCCUGACUAA
rnacentral:rRNA from 1 species